AUGAAAACAGGAAUUAUGUCAUGAUUCAAAACAAAGAAGAGGGUUAGAAAAUACAAAAGAUAUCCAACAAUGAAAUUUAAAGAGAAGGAACCAAAAACUUGUUAGUUCAUAAUAAGCUUAAAACCGACCAUGUAGGCGGUAUAAAAUAAAAACAUAAACUUAAAAACAAAGCUUAAUUAAAACCGACCAUAUAGGUGGUACAAAAUGAAAACAUAAACUUAAAAUCAAAGCUUAAUUAAAACCAUCCAUGUAGGAGGUAUAAGAACAUAAAAUGAAAUGAAAAUAAAACUUAAUUAAAAACCAUCCAUAUAGGAGGUAAUCAAAACAUAAUUAUAUUAUACAUAAGGA
rnacentral:lncRNA from 1 species